rnacentral:rRNA from 1 species
UUAAGUUGGGCACUCUAAGUUGACUGCCGGUGACAAACCGGAGGAAGGUGGGGAUGACGUCAAAUCAUCAUGCCCCUUAUGAUUUGGGCUACACACGUGCUACAAUGGACAAUACAAAGGGUAGCGAAACCGCGAGGUCAAGCAAAUCCCAUAAAGUUGUUCUCAGUUCGGAUUGUAGUCUGCAACUCGACUAUAUGAAGCUGGAAUCGCUAGUAAUCGUAGAUCAGCAUGCUACGGUGAAUA